CUGUCUCAAAGAUUAAGCCAUGCAUGUCUCAGUACAAGCCGAAUUAAGGUGAAACCGCGAAAGGCUCAUUAAAUCAGUUNAUGGUUCCUUAGAUCGUACCCACAUUUACUUGGAUAACUGUGGUAAUUCUAGAGCUAAUACAUGCAAACAGAGCCCCGACCGGAAACGGAAGGGGCGCUUUUAUUAGAUCAAAACCAAUCGGUGUCGGUCUCCGACAUCGUACAACUUGGUGACUCUGAAUAACUUUACGCUGAUCGCACGGUCUUGCACCGGCGACGCAUCUUUCAAAUGUCUGCCUUAUCAACUGUCGAUGGUAGGUUCUGCGCCUACCAUGGUUGUAACGGGUAACGGGGAAUCAGGGUUCGAUUCCGGAGAGGGAGCCUGAGAAACGGCUACCACAUCCAAGGAAGGCAGCAGGCGCGCAAAUUACCCACUCCCGGCACGGGGAGGUAGUGACGAAAAAUAACGAUACGGGACUCAUCCGAGGCCCCGUAAUCGGAAUGAGUACACUCUAAACCCUUUAACGAGGAUCAAUUGGAGGGCAAGUCUGGUGCCAGCAGCCGCGGUAAUUCCAGCUCCAAUAGCGUAUAUUAAAGUUGUUGCGGUUAAAAAGCUCGUAGUCGAAUCUGUGUCCCGCGCCGCUGGUUCAUCGUUCGCGGUGUUAACUGGCGUGCCGCGGGACGUCCUGCCGGUGGACUUAGCUCGCAAGGGCGGUCCAACUCAAUCCCGCCGCGGUGCUCUUCAUUGAGUGUCGAGGUGGGCCGGCACGUUUACUUUGAACAAAUUAGAGUGCUUAAAGCAGGCUAAAACUUCGCCUGAAUACUGUGUGCAUGGAAUAAUGGAAUAGGACCUCGGUUCUAUUUUGUUGGUUUUCGGACGCCCGACAAGUAAUGAUUAAUAGGAACGGAUGGGGGCAUUCGUAUUGCGACGUUAGAGGUGAAAUUCUUGGAUCGU
rnacentral:rRNA from 1 species